rnacentral:tmRNA from 1 species
ACCCUUGCUCAACUUGUUGUUAUUCUCCCUGAGCGAUGGCGUCCAAAAAGCCUGAUAAAACCUAUGAAGAAAUGGUCAAGGAAGUAGAAAGGCUUAAACUGGAGAAUAAAACACUUAAACAAAAGGUUAAGUCUUCAGGCGCUGUCUCAUCAGAUGAUAGCAUCUUGACAGCUGCCAAGAGAGAAAGUAUCAUUGUCUCUUCAUCCAGAGCACUAGGAGCAGUGGCUAUGAGAAAAAUCGAGGCUAAAGUCAGAUCCCGGGCGGCCAAAGCUGUUACAGAGCAGGAACUAACCUCUCUUCUCCAAUCGCUGACCCUGAGAGUUGACGUGUCUAUGGAGGAAACUACUGUGGGUGCCAGCGGAGGGAUUGGCCCAUCCUCUCAAACAGAGACCAAGAAAAGAAGACCCAGGUGUGAUUAUCUGGAAUUAGUUGUGGUUGAACGGCGCCUGUGUACUCAAAGGAUCCGCCCAUAGCUGAGUUGGGAGUAGGUAUGUAGCUCUGCUCGCUUGUUUCUGGGGAGGUUUGAGGAGAAGGGCUAAAUUCAAACUGGAACUCUUCUGUGGCGGAAGAAGGGCCAGGGCUAAUGGGUGAAAAUGGCCCCAAUGGUUCAUAAGUGGUCUCUGGCCGAGCUCUCGGAGACAGUCCUGAAAAGACCAUGUUGAAAGAAGAAAGCCAUCUUUUUUUAGAGGGGUUUGUCACCGCCUCUGAAAACAUUUGAUACAAACAGGGUUCAGUGGUAUUGUGUAGAGGGUCCAGGUUAAUGAUUUCUUCUGGGUUCUGCAGCAAAUGUGCCAUAUUACCCCUAUGCAACUCCCCCAACCCUGGUUCUGUGGGAGAAGCAAACAGGGGGUCUGGGAUGCAGAACUUUUGUGAGGAUAUGUCUUUACUGUAUAGCGAACCGUGGGGGGCUCGUUUUCUGUUUCCAUCUCCAAUAGUACAGCUGGGUACACAGUCUGGUGGGAUGUUGAUGGCGUGCUGAUAAAUUGGAAUUAAAAUUUUAUUUAAGUCCAUUUGUGGAAAGCAUAUCUUUAUAAAUGCCUCAACUUCUCUGGAUAUGCCACCAGGUGACUUCUUCUCAGAAUUAAAUUCAUCCAACACAUUGCGCCCAAAUGUCAUUAAAUGUCUGCGGCCUGCCCCUAAGCGCCUCCAGGCCGUUGUGCAUUUUCCUCUAACAUCCUUGAGUAUUUCGAACAGACUGCAGGCCAGAGGUUGAGGUAGCUGUACCCCCGAACAUGGGGCAGUCAGAAACAGCCUGUCUGUGGUAUAGACAACUCUUUCAAUGGCAUAUUUGAUCAGGUGGUGAGAUAUGUACCCACAUGGAUGCCUGUUAUGGACUUUGGCAUUAAACCUCACCUUCUGGUUUCUGAACAUUACCCAGACAUUGUAGAAGUUCAGGUCAAAUAUUAACCCAGACAAAGGCCCAUGUUUGAGACUGUCUGACUGCAGACGCCGAAGAGCAAGUUCCAAAUUCUUGACAUACUGCAGAGCAUUCAAACCAUCUUCAGGGUGCUGUAGGAAGCAUAUAAAUAGAUCUACCAGUUGCUGAAAUUCCUCUUUUGUUUCAGCAGAGACUCCAAUCAACUGGCUCAAGUAGACCUGCUUCGAUCCGUGCCAGUCCUAUAAGAACAGAAAACAUGGGGGAUGAAUUUUAUUAUCCUUCUCUGGAAAGCGUGGUCCACACCUUUUGUGUCAUAGAUACUAGGGAACAUAAUAGAGUAAGUGCCUGUUUGUGUAAGCUUCAGGUGCUGUGUAAAAUUUGUCAGACACUGCGCCACAACUUGGAUACAGAGCCAUUUUUGUUGCCCCACUUGAGGGAACUAAUUAUCAGACACCUAACACUAUUGGAGAGGUUGUCCACUACCUCCAAAUUUCAGCGCAUACUCGACUACAUGAAGCUAUCCCUUGAGGCAAAUGAUUCAAACUUGUUACAAGACUUGGCCAUAGGCACUGUCAAUUUACUGGGCUGUCAAAGUCCAGAGAUUUUGUCUAUCCCAUAUGACAAAGAUCAGCCUGUACAUGAAUGGUGUGCAUGUUUCCUGACCUCUGUAGACGAGGAAGCCUUGAGAAAAAUAUCUUCUAUGUUGGACAAUAAACACUUUUCUUAUAUGUACAACUUUAAAACAUUCUUAAAGUAUUCACUAGAGUUAGAAACAGCUGCAGACUUUGAUUUAUCUACUGGACUCAAUGUCCUUGUGUAUUGGGUAAGCGUCUUUAAACUGUUCAGUGUUUGUGUCCAAAGUCAGUUUCUGCUGGACAGCCUUGUGGCAUUUAAUGCCCUUUUUAAAAAUCAUGUAAAAGAGUUAGAAGCGAUUGUGGAAUCUGACACAAACCUGCUCUGCUAUAGCACAUCUGUUGUGUGGGCAAAAUUGUCUAACUUAAACCAUCUGCUCCACAGACUUCAGACUAGUAACAACACUUUAGUUUUUGAUGAAAUACUGAUCUGUCUGCGUGGUUUACAAAUUUAUAUAAAAUGUUUACCUACCUUAUCGGCUGAAGGGGAAUCCGAGUCAGAGGCCAUCGCUGCAGAAAUUCCCUCGUAGUGCAGGAGUUGUAUUUUUGAGUGUAGAUUGAAAAGAGUUGUGCUCUCUCCUCAGCCUUUGAAGGGACAUUUCAUGACUCAUGUAGGAGGAGCUACCAGAUUUCCAUAAAAGUGGGAGGCUAUUAUUUCUUGCAGACUGCAGCACAUUGUGGGAUAAUGUGUUCAAAAAUGGACCUUGAAACCCGUGAAGGUGGUGGUUGCCAGCAGGUUUCAAUUCUCAUGGUCACAUCUGACAGAGAAAAGGAACAGUAUGAGAAAUUUAUGAACAUACUUAAGAAUCUUUCAAAUUGUACUGAUAUAUCUCAGGUCGUGGCAGAUGCUAAAAAAAUCUAUGAUUCCAGGGAAUUUUGUUAUGUGCCUGCCCUUCUCACUCUGUUCAAGAAGUUGCCUUCUGUUCAUAAAUGGCCUGAAAAUGAAAACUGUAAUGAGGUGCUAAGUGCUGCCUUCUUUGUGUGCCAGCUCUUAUUUUUUCAUAACUUCCCAGCCUCACCAGCUUUUACAGUGGAUGAAAUGUUUGCAACAGUGGCUGCUAGAUUGAAGGAUCUGAUAGAAUAUUCAUGUGACUGUGAGAACUGUGAAUUGUUGGCUGAAUCCCUGACAAAUUAUAAGUUUUCCCUGGUACCUAUAAAGAUCAGGCCACACACCGAUACCUGUGUCUCACUGAAAACACUCCAGCGGCUACGGACUGCCAUGUUAGGCAAUCCUGAAACCCUGAGUAUUUGGACCCUUGAUGACCUGGUGGAGGACCCAGUAGUCUUCAAAGGCUAUGAAAGCGCAAUUAGGAGAGAAUUUGCUGAGCAUGUCACAUGUUUGAACAUGUGCUGGGUUGUGAAGAUAAUCUUGGACUGCAUGUCUCAGCCAACAGCUCUGCUUCGGGAUUGUAUUCAGAAGGGUGCAAAGAAUAAUGGACUCCAGCUGGACACUUCGAGUACCUGGACGUGGCCAGCAGCACGUAUUGCUGAAAAGGAAGUCAUAGAACAUACCAUGAGUGUUUGUGUACAGGAUAUGACUAGAAGUCAUGAUCAGGAAUUCUACACAGAGGCCUUUAAGGAAGAUCUCCAUAUAGGAUUAAAGAGACUAGUUGCCAUGGUCCUUGGGCAGAAUCAUAGUUGGUUAGAUGGCUUUCUGACAGACACUAUAGUGACAGGUAAAGCAUAGCCUGGGGCAUAGUUCUUUGAUGAAUCAUCAUAAAUAUGAUGGCUAAUGUGGUCCUUUUGUGUAUUAAUGCAGAUAUGUUUAUGUAUCCAGGUGUGUUGCUUGAAAGGUAUUUUGCUGUACUAACCCAACACCACCUAUUUAUCAUGUUUGGAAGCCUAUUAAAAACUGUGCUAUUGAC